GUAAGCCGAAGACAGCUACUGGUUUUUUAACUAAGGAAACUCCGUCCACUAUUAAUGCAUAGUAUCUAAGAUACAUACUGAGAAGUAUGACAAUGGAGCAGAAACGAUACGUCUUUUAAUGAAUGAUAAUGAAGCUAUUGCAGAAGACAUUAAAAAUCGCGGUGAAACGGCUAUUCUAUGCUAGUGCAAGAAAAGAAUGCCUAUGGCAGAAGAAUUUCGCUAAGAUAAAUGCUGUUAAACAGAAGAUGGGUUACUCUCGGCAUAC
rnacentral:RNase_P_RNA from 1 species